GACGAACGCUGGCGGCGUGCUUAACACAUGCAAGUCGAACGGAAAGGCCCUGCUUUUGUGGGGUGCUCGAGUGGCGAACGGGUGAGUAACACGUGAGUAACCUGCCCUUGACUUUGGGAUAACUUCAGGAAACUGGGGCUAAUACCGGAUAGGAGCUCCUGCUGCAUGGUGGGGGUUGGAAAGUUUCGGCGGUUGGGGAUGGACUCGCGGCUUAUCAGCUUGUUGGUGGGGUAGUGGCUUACCAAGGCUUUGACGGGUAGCCGGCCUGAGAGGGUGACCGGGCACAUUGGGACUGAGAGACGGCCCAGACUCCUACGGGAGGCAGCAGUGGGGAAUAUUGCGCAAUGGGCGGAAGCCUGAUGCAGCAACGCCGCGUGCGGGAUGACGGCCUUCGGGUUGUAAACCGCUUUCGCCUGUGACGAAGCGUGAGUGACGGUAAUGGGUAAAGAAGCACCGGCUAACUACGUG
rnacentral:rRNA from 1 species